UCUCACCAGCUCUAUAAAAACUUCACCUGUGGUUCAUAAUUUGUUUUCCACAAAUGUAGCUACAUGGAAUGGGUUUCCUGCCUCCGACAAACAAAAUUUCAAUGUGAUGUACAACCUGCUGUGGAUGUGGACAGUUGUACAAAAACAGCACACGUGGUAAACAAUAGUGAUGGGACGAGCGACACUGGUGCAUCAGCACAGUGCCGAGAGCUCAAGAGUGAAACCUCGUAUCGGUGCGUGUAUUGCUUUAAGAAAGGAUCACGUGACCGAUACAGGAACUGUAUCGUUUGGAUGUGGCGUGCCAAAGUGUGUUUAUAAGGAAACAAACUGUAUCAACAUGUCGUGGGUUUGUCGAAUGGAGUUUUGCUUGAUCAUGGAUCUUUUUCUCCGGUGUGGAAUAAUUUUGAUCUCGUGACGCCAAACAAGGUGAAGUGUCGGCUCUGCUCCACAGAGCUAUCUUAUAUCAAUAAGAGCACUUCAUCAAUGCUGAGUCAUUAUAGAGCUCGGCAUGGCAAUGAAGAAUUGGCAGCUACUCGUGAGAAUACCCCUGGGCACAUUCUCUGGAAAACAUUAGAUCUGGAGUUGCAGAGACCCAGAAGACGAGGAACGCAACAGCUGACUCAAUUAUUGAAGUCCAACGCUACCUGGCAGAAACAAACACACCCAGAAACCAAGAUCCUUUGCAAUAUUGGAAAUUGAACCAGGAAAUAUACCCACAUCUUCAUCAACUUGCACUUAAAACUCUCUGCUCACCAUCAUCGUCUGUUCCAUGCAAAAGAGUAUUUUCCAAGGCUGGGGAGCUGGUGUGUAAGAGGAGAAAUCGCCUUGGAGCAAAGAGACUCCAAAAACUUUUGUUCCUCAAUAAAAAUUCAUGAACUAA